rnacentral:rRNA from 1 species
GACGAACGCUGGCGGCAGGCCUAACACAUGCAAGUCGAGCGGCGCGGCGGCCGGGUGAGUAAUGCCUAGGAAUCUGCCUGGUCGUGGGGGAUCACGUCCGGAAACGGGCGCUAUUACCGCAUCCUUUCAGAUGAGUCUAUGUCGGAUUAGCUAGUUGGUGGGGUAAAGGCCUACCAAGGCGACGAUCCGUAUCUGGUCUGAGAGGAUGAUCAGUCACACUGGGACUGAGACACGGUCCAGACUCCUACGGGAGGCAGCAGUUGGGAAUAUUGGACAAUGGGCGAAAGCCUGAUCCAGCCAUGCCGCGUGUGUGAAGAAGGUCUUCGGAUUGUAAAGCACUUUAAGUUGGGAGGCGUUACCAACAGAAUAAGCACCGGCUAACUUCGUGCCAGCAGCCGCGGUAAUUC